GCAGCGGCUGUUUGAGUUGCCUGUUGAUUCCCCUGGCACUGUGGAGUAUUGUUAUAAAUAUUCUCCUAUAUUUUCCUGAUGGGAAAUCUUCAUAUGCUUCCAGCAAUAAUCACACCAACUAUGUGUGGCAUUUUGAAGGAAUCUGUUUCUCAGGUAUUAUGAUUCUUAUUCUAGCAGCACUUCUAGUAAUUCUGGACCGGGAUACCUUUUUUGAAUGCUUCCAAAGUGAAAGCUGCACCAGAACAUAUAGAUCUGUGAUGGAGAUUAAAAAAAAGAGACAGAGACCCUUUGUUUGUUAUCUCUACAGCAAAUCUGCAAAGCUGAACAAACAAGAACAGGAAAAAUAGCUGGUCCCCAUUCUGAAAUAGAUGGACUAGUAUCAACAGACAUAACUUUAGAAUUGUUGCCAACUGUUAUUCCCUAAACUUCCGUCUCUCUGUUAAGAACUGUUCUGCAAUCUCAUGGUCUCCAAGUCUGUUGGAACAAUUAUAUUAGUGAAGAUGAACAUAAUGUGCACUACAGUAUUGAGGGGAAAGCAAUACAAAGAUAAUUGGCCUAUCAUCCUGCUUUAAAUGAAUAAUUAAUAUUUUCCUUAAUUACACAUCUUGGCUCAGGCUUAGCAGUGCAAGUCCCUAAAACUAUUGCCACAACAAUCAUACUGUCUUCCUCCCAAUAAGCAUGGCAUAACAGUGCCCUUUCUGUCAUCUUCAGUCACAUGAAGAGCCUAACUCUAUGAGAUCAUCAUGGUCUUGGAGAAUUUAAGGAUCAGUUUGGUGUUUUAUGAGAUGUCACAUUAAAAAUAAGACCAUCUUAUUUAUAUGGAGUGAUGCAUUUGCUUGAUGACAUACACAGUAAGUGGGAAAAAUAAUACAGGUAGUCCUUGGGUUAGAGCAGUUCAUUUAGUGACUCUUAAACUGGCACUGAAAAAAAUGAUAUGAUGAUUUUCCACAUUAU